rnacentral:rRNA from 1 species
UACGGAGGAUGCAAGCGUUAUCCGGAUUUAUUGGGUUUAAAGGGUGCGUAGGCGGAAUAUUAAGUCAGUGAUGAAAUCCUGCAGCUUAACUGUAGAACUGUCAUUGAUACUGGUAUUCUUGAAUGUAGUUGAGGUGGGCGGAAUAUGUAAUGUAGCGGUGAAAUGCUUAGAUAUUACAUAGAACACCGAUUGCGAAGGCAGCUCACUAAGCUAUAAUUGACGCUGAGGCACGAAAGCGCGGGGAGCGAACAGGAUUAGAUACCCUGGUAGUCCACGCUGUAAACUAUGAUCACUCGCUGUUGGCAAUACAUCGUCAGCGGCUGAGCGAAAGCAUUAAGUGAUCCACCUGGGGAGUACGAUCGCAAGAUUGAA